GUUUCCUUUACUAAGCUAUUUGGAGCACUUGUUGCAUGAUUGGACUGCCUUGAUUCUGAAUUUGACUACAUUUGGACCACAGGGGCUCAUUGAUUGCAUUUGUUAUUAGUGUUGAGGUAUUCGUAUAACCUGUGGGUGAUUGAAUUGUGCCUAUUGUUCAUUGGGUUGGUUUUAAACAAAAAAUUGUUAUUACUUUGAAAUUCCUGUUUCCAUUAUCUGUUGGCAAUUGUAGUCCCUUGUGAUUAGAGUGACAUCUAGAGAUCAUGGUAAGGCCAAGAUCCGCUUCUAGGUUUAGGACACCUAGACACUCGCAGCCUCCUCCU
rnacentral:lncRNA from 1 species